UCAGGCCUAACACAUGCAAGUCGAACGGCAGCAUAGGAGCUUGCUCCUGAUGGCGAGUGGCGAACGGGUGAGUAAUAUAUCGGAACGUGCCCUAGAGUGGGGGAUAACUAGUCGAAAGACUAGCUAAUACCGCAUACGAUCUACGGAUGAAAGUGGGGGAUCGCAAGACCUCAUGCUCCUGGAGCGGCCGAUAUCUGAUUAGCUAGUUGGUGGGGUAAAAGCCUACCAAGGCGACGAUCAGUAGCUGGUCUGAGAGGACGACCAGCCACACUGGGACUGAGACACGGCCCAGACUCCUACGGGAGGCAGCAGUGGGGAAUUUUGGACAAUGGGGGCAACCCUGAUCCAGCAAUGCCGCGUGAGUGAAGAAGGCCUUCGGGUUGUAAAGCUCUUUUGUCAGGGAAGAAACAGUAGUAGCUAAUAUCUAUUACUAAUGACGGUACCUGAAGAAUAAGCACCGGCUAACUACGUGCCAGCAGCCGCGGUAAUACGUAGGGUGCAAGCGUUAAUCGGAAUUACUGGGCGUAAAGCGUGCGCAGGCGGUUGUGUAAGUCAGAUGUGAAAUCCCGGGCUCAACCUGGGAAUUGCAUUUGAGACUGCACGGCUAGAGUGUGUCAGAGGGGGGUAGAAUUCCACGUGUAGCAGUGAAA
rnacentral:rRNA from 1 species